GAUAUAUAUAAUUUUUAAAUGAAUUUAUUUUCUCGAAACUUUAUUGUCAUGUCACAUAUAUAUUUAGCUUCUUUUGUGUAUUAUAAAAAAAUUACUAUUUUGUUAUUUGUUCACCGUAAUAUAUACAGCAAAUAUCGAUUAUAGCAAUAAUGCUACAAUGGACUUUGUAAUUUAAAUUUCGCGCUAUGAAAAUCACCUACCCAUGCGAAGUGUCAUGGCGAACCAUCCGGUCACUUCGCUUGGGUGAUAAAGUUCGUUCGUUAUUGCGCGACAUUUUAUACAGACAUUGAUUUCUAAGUGUUAUUUGUAAAUCUACAAAACUGCAGUUACACGAUAUUCCAUGUUUAAGCGUGGUGCCGCGAUUACAGCGAUAAAUUUCGCAUGCGAACAACAACCAGCAGAAAUUGUUUCAUCUGGCUCGUUUCAUUACCUAACCUCUACUAUGGCACUCACAGAUUGAGUACCAGGGUAUUAUUUAAUUACCUAAAAAAGACUAUGCACGUACGACCUGCAUACGGAAUUUUUCUACGAGUUUGAAUAACAAUUCCUUUCUUGGUCGCUUCGAAAGAAUCUGUGAACAAGUUCGUGUAUUGAGAAAUAUUUGUGUGUACAAUAUAUUAAGAUUGCACUAUCGAGGAGACACAUAUAUGUAUUGUGUAAAGCUGUAUAUUGUACAAAAGUUUUUCUCCUCGUGAUGGAAGAUCUGUUUGUGUUGAAGUAUCGCAUCUCGCAUUGUCGUUUCAUUGAUCGAUUGUACGCCUCAUCUCACUGGAACACAAUGGUACUUGUAUGUCACAAGAAAGAAAGCAUUUCUUUUUUUAUAUUUCGCUUUGUCUUCUUAUUCUUAUAAGAUUUUCAAGAAUCUUUAGAAGAGCACGUAUUAUGUUUACAUCUUAUAAUUGUUUGUUUCUCUGUUAUUUAUAGCUAUAACGAUGACAUAAGCAAGGAUUUCUUUAAAUUGUUUUGAGAAUUGUAAAUCGACCAACGAUACAAAAUUCAUGCGAUGUCAUUGUUAAAAAGCAACCAAUUUAAUUCUACUUGUAAUAAAUAUUCCUUAUGAGAACAGUAUAUUUCGUUAUUUGUUAGUUUUUCCGUUCGAAUAAGGGUAUCCACGUUUAUUAAAAUAUGUCUUCUAUGUUGCUGUAGUUACGAUCCCAAUAAUCUCCACGAUAUAACCAAUCCAUUUGAUUUGUAUAUGGAUUCAUGGCUAAUUGGAACCACCUGUGGCACAUAAAAAGUUUACAUAACGGAUAAUCGAUAUCUGUAGUAUCAUAGAGAAGAAAAAUUAUAAUGAAUAUUAUUCAUGAAAUAAAAUAAAAAUAUUACUAUUAUAUACGUUAUGCAAAUAAGGAAUUAUUAUAUAUA